rnacentral:rRNA from 1 species
UACGUAGGGGACGAGCGUUGUCCGGAUUCAUUGGGCGUAAAGCGCGCGUAGGCGGCUCGGUAAGUCGGUCGUGAAAUGCCGGGGCUCAACCCCGGGACUGCGUCCGAUACUCCCGAGCUGGAGGCAGGUAGGGGAGAUCGGAAUUCCUGGUGUAGCGGUGAAAUGCGCAGAUAUCAGGAGGAACACCGGUGGCGAAGGCGGAUCUCUGGGCCUUGCCUGACGCUGAGGCGCGAAAGCCAGGGGAGCAAACGGG